rnacentral:rRNA from 1 species
GACGAACGCUGGCGGCGUGCUUAACACAUGCAAGUCGAACGGAAAGGCCCUGCUUUUGUGGGGUGCUCGAGUGGCGAACGGGUGAGUAACACGUGAGUAACCUGCCCUUGACUUUGGGAUAACUUCAGGAAACUGGGGCUAAUACCGGAUAGGAGCUCCUGCUGCAUGGUGGGGGUUGGAAAGUUUCGGCGGUUGGGGAUGGACUCGCGGCUUAUCAGCUUGUUGGUGGGGUAGUGGCUUACCAAGGCUUCGACGGGUAGCCGGCCUGAGAGGGUGACCGGCCACAUUGGGACUGAGAUGCAGACAAAAAUCCUACAGGAGGCAACAGUGGAGAAUAUUACAGAAUGGGCGGAAGCGUGAUGCAGCAACGCCGCGUGCGGGAUGACGGCCUUCGGAUUGUAAACCGCUAUCGCCUGUGACGAAGCGUGAAUGACGGUAAUGGGUAAAGCAGCACCGGCUAACUACGUG